rnacentral:rRNA from 1 species
UACAGAGGGUGCGAGCGUUGUCCGGAAUCACUGGGCGUAAAGGGCGCGUAGGUGGCGGCCCAAGUCCAUGGUGAAAGCUCGAUGCUCAACAUCGAGUCGGCCACGGAUACUGGGUUGCUCGAGCACUGUAGGGGCAGAUGGAAUUCCGGGUGUAGCGGUGGAAUGCGUAGAGAUCCGGAAGAACACCGGUGGCGAAGGCGGUCUGCUGGGCAGUUGCUGACACUGAGGCGUGACAGCGUGGGGAGCAAACAGG